ensembl:lncRNA
AGUCACUACUCUUCUCACCCAGAGCACCACCAGUGGUUCUCACCUGGGAUGUGAUGCCUGAUGGGAGCGCAGCACAGCUGGAACUGCUUUAAACCUCAUUUUAAUUAACAGUAGCUGUCCCAUGUUCUUUUAAAUAUCCUGAAGGAGGCUCUUCUUUUAAAUAAAAGGUCCACAUUGGGUGAAGCCAGGAGUUUGCUUAGCUCAGCAUGCUCUACCCUACAAAAUGCCCUGCAAUUAACCAGCGCCUGUGUAGUGUAAAUCACAACAUGAUUCUCGGCAUGAGAACAGAGACAAAGUCACCCCUCAGCCAGACAAGGACAGAGAGCUCAGGAGCGCAGAGCCAUGCACCUGUUUAUCCAUGACUUUGGAAGCUUCAAAACUGGCGCCAUAGAAAAUGAGGACAGACAGCACUUCCACCCAAGAGCAGCCAGGAGCCCGGUGGUCAGUGGGCCGCCCUGCAGGGCUUGCUGGCUGCUGGCACGCAGAUCUGGACCAUUACAUGGAGCAGGCACAAGCUGUAUGAAAGCAGAAAGGAUCGCACUGUCGACAUCAGCAAUAACUCAUGCUACGCCUGCAGAGACCCCAAAACAGAAGUGCAGCCCACUCCCACCUUUCCUGAUGAAAGCUGCUAUCAGAGCCCAGCCAAAUGCCCAAAGAAGCAGGAGAGCUCAACUGGCCAUGGAAAAAAUCAACUGCAACAGGACUUUGUGCCUAAAUCUAAAGGCAUAAGAUGAUGCUUGGAAAACAAAUUACCUGAGCUUUCAUUGGGUUCUUAAUUCAGCUGGUUGUCCUCUCUGUUUGUCUCCUACUGCCUAAGAAGAGAUCUGUAUGACCGGGGCAUGAGUUCUACUGAACGCUCAUGAGAGACUGGAGAGUUCCUGGGGUCUACUGGGAUAAGAGGGAAGGGCUGGUGGCACCAGGGUGGGCAGCUGGUCUGCAUCUGAAGCCAGCUGUGGCCCUUGCUUUAUUUGCACUGGACAUCUGUUUCAGGUCCCUUCCCUGUUCUCUGGCUUCUCACAGGGCGCUUUAAAAAACCCAUUCCUUGUGCUGUGGACAGGGCUGACAUUGAGGAAAGACACUACUGUGACAGACUGCUUUGAACCAAUGUUUGUGACAAUUACUGUGGCUGCUGCUGGUGUUUCACACGCCCAUCACCACAAUACUCCCAUAGCUCUGAGUGGCCUUUGCAGAGCUCUCUUACUGAUCUACCAGAA